AAGGGACUUUUGGCUGGGACAGACUUUGAAGUUGACUCUUAUUCUUUCAGUGUUGGAGGUGCAAGAUUACAAAGGCCAUACACGUAUGUGCAUUUCCCAGGAUUUGGGAUUGCAAUCAUUCUGAUGUGUGGCAUAUCACUCCUCCUUUUUCCUGCGAUGGUCUAUCUGUGCUGGAAAUAUGAAGUGCUCACAAAGUGGCAGAAACACUGCUCACUCAACAGAUGGAAUAUUGAACAGGAGGCAGUAAGCAUUCCUAUCCCAC